CGGGGUAUAGCUCAGUGGUAGACUGAGUGCUUGGCACGCACAAGGUCCUGGGUUCAAUCCCCGGUACCUCCA
rnacentral:tRNA from 1 species